GAUUCGGUAUAAAAAUCCUCAGCAACGCAAGGGUCACUAUCAGUCGAGUGUCGUUAAUCGUCCCAAACGUAGCCUCUUAUUUGAGAAGUACCUUCUUCCUUCGUGAACCCGGUAGACCAAAUUCAAAAUCCCCAAGCCAAAAUGAAAUUCCUGAUCAUGACCAUCUGCCUGGUUGUCCUGGCCUUCGCCCUGGUCAGCGCCCUCCCGGCCGUCAACGACGAGAGCAUCUUCGGUGGAAUCGACACCGGAGCCGCCGACGACACCGUGAACCCCCAGGACCCGCAGGCCAUCCUGCUGAAGAAGCUGCUGCUGAAGAAGAAGCUGCUGCUGCUGGGUUAAAGCGCCACUCCAAAACUCUGCCAUCCCACACGGAGAGGGGACGUUCCGCGUCGGUUGAGAAAGUUUGCUCCGUGGACAGCCCUGCCCGGUGCAGGAGGUCAGCGGAUAAAUCUACGCGAUCGUAGCAGGACGGAGCCCUCGGGGCCGCACUAGCUUUACAACAACAAAAAAUAUUUUUAAUUUAAUAAUUAUCCCCCCUUUGCCCACUUUUGAGUUCAGUAUGCGAGAUUAGGCUGCGAAGAAAAGUAUUUUUUUGGUUUGUUCGUUUUUCGCGAAUUUUUAAGGAAAUCCCCCUUACGGUAUGUUUGGGAACGAGUGCAAUGUACGAUACUCUUAAAACUGAGUUUUUCUUUAGUUUUGCACAACGAUGCAACUGCCAGUCAAAUAGCUCCAAUGUACAAUCGAAAUAAAGUCUAAGAUUUUUUACAACUGAAACAA